rnacentral:rRNA from 1 species
CGCCUUUCGAUAAAUAAAUAUGAAAGGUCCUGCCUGCCCAGUGAUAUUAUUUCAACGGCCGCGGUAUUAUGACCGUGCAAAGGUAGCAUAAUCACUUGUCUCUUAAAUUAAGACCAGCAUGAAUGGCAAAACGAAAGCCUAACUGUCUCCUUAAGUUAGUCAAUGAAAUUGAUCUUCCCGUGCAGAAGCGGGUAUAAAAAUAUAAGACGAGAAGACCCUGUGGAGCUUAAAAAUAAGGCUAUACAAAGAUUUUGUAAUAACAUCAAAUUUAGGUUGGGGCGACCACGAGGUAAAACAUAACCCUCAAGAUAAUAACUAGAAGGACAUUUCAAACAAAAUAAAAUUUAUAUAUUGACCCAAUAAUGAUCAACGAACCAAGUUACCCCAGGGAUAACAGCGCAAUCCAUUUCCAGAGUCCAUAUCGACGAAUGGGUUUACGACCUCGAUGUUGGAUCAGGACCCCCUAAUGGUGCAACAACUAUUAAAGGUUCGUUUGUUCAACGAUUAAAGUCCU